GCCAGUUGUAGCUCAGUGGUUAAGACACCUGACUACUGAUCAGAAGGUUGUGAGUUCAAGUCCCAGCACUGCCA